rnacentral:rRNA from 1 species
GAUGAACGCUGGCGGCGUGCUUAAUACAUGCAAGUCGAACGGAAAGGCCCGGCUUUUGUGGGGUGCUCGAGUGGGGAAGGGGGGAGUAAAACGGGAGUAACACGCCCUUGACUUAGGGAUAAAUUCAGGAAAAUGGGGCAAAUAUCGGGGAGGAUCUACUGCUGCAUGGGGGGGGUUGGAAAGUUGCGGCGUUUGUGGAUGGAAUCGCGGCUUAUCAGCAUGUUGGUGGGGUAGGUGCUUACCAAGGCUUUGACGGGUAGCCGGCCUGGGAGGGUGACCGGCCACAUUGGGCCAGAGAUACGGCCCGUACGCAUACGGGAGGCAGGAGUGGGGAAUAUUGCACAAAGCGCGGAAUCAGGAUGCAGCAACGCCGCGUGCGAGAUGACGGCCAUCGGGUUGUAAACCACUUGCACCUGUGUCGAAGCGUGAGUGACGGAACUGGUUAAAGAAGCACCGGCUAACUACUU